CAGCAGCCGCGGUAAUGCGAAGGGGGCUAGCGUUGUUCGGAAUUACUGGGCGUAAAGGGCGCGUAGGCGGCCAUUCAAGUUAGAUGUGAAAGCCCUGGGCUCAACCUAGGAAUUGCAUUUGAUACUGUUUGGCUUGAGUUCGGGAGAGGUGAGUGGAAUUCCCAGUGUAGAGGUGAAAUUCGUAGAUAUUGGGAAGAACACCGGUGGCGAAGGCGGCAACCUGGUCCAUAAUUGACGCUGAGGCGCGAAAGCGUGGGGAGCAAACAGGAUUAGAUACCCCCGUAGUCCCUGUCUCUUAUAC
rnacentral:rRNA from 1 species